GCUGGGCACGGUGGCACAUGCCUGUAAUCCCAGUGACUUGGGAGGCGGAGGCAGGAGGAUUGGGUGUUCAAAGCCAGUGACUCAGCAAAAGCGAGUCACCAAGCAUCUCAGUGAGACCCUGUCUCUA
rnacentral:sRNA from 1 species